rnacentral:rRNA from 1 species
UUAAGUGAAGAGUUUGAUCUUGGCUCCGAGUGAACGCUGGCGGUAGGCCUAACACAUGCAAGUCGAGCGGCAGCACAGGAGAGCUUGCUCUCUGGGUGGCGAGUGGCGGACGGGUGAGGAAUACAUCGGAAUCUACUCUGUCGUGGGGGAUAACGUAGGGAAACUUACGCUAAUACCGC